ACAGGAGCUAAGUGAAUGAGAAAGGAAGCCAUUAGGUCAGAGAACAAGAUAGAUUAGUCUUUUUUAGGUCUCUUGUCUUCAAGAGUUUAGGGCAGUAAUGCAAAUAUUAAUAAUAUGGAAAUAGUUCUUGAUCAAUGACACAUGUAAAACCCAGUGGAUUUGCUCAUUGGCUACAGGAGGGGGUGGGAGGAGGGAAGGGAAAGAACAUGAAUCUUGUAACCAUGGAAAAAAUAUUCUAAAUUAAUGAAUUAAAUAAAAAUUUUCAAAUUAAAAAAUUAAAAAAAAAAAAGAGUUUGGGGCACUUGAGGCUGACCCUUCUCUUUGAUCAGGAUGGAGAGCUUGGGCUCGAGCAUCAGGCCCAUUGUGCAGUUGGAGGCCCAAGAUAGGCAUGGGAGCAAGGCCAUAUUCUUGAGUGGGGAGGGCCUCCCUCCUGACAAGCUUUUUUAUAGUAUAAGUUUUCUCCUCCAUGGUGGUGGAGAUUAAGGCAGCAGGCCAGUCUUUCUUAGGGUCUAAAUAGCUUUGCCCUUGAUUGACUCUUGUUGAAGUCAUCAACUCUGCCCAAGAAAGGGGUGCAAGUAGUGAGUAUUGGGUAGAAGAAGGAGAAUCCUCUGUCCAGAGGGGUCUCCAUCUGCUUUCUCCCCAAACCUAGCAGAAGAAGGAAAGCAAUGGCCAGGUGAUCAACAUGGGCAACAGUGGUGUCCCUCCCAAUCCAACCUUCUCAAACAGCCUGGUUCUCAGCCCCAGAGGAAGGGGGCUCACUUACUCUGUGAUACUCUGACCAGCUCAGUCACAUUCCAGACCCCAGAGGUCACAAAGCAGUCCUGGAAACUUAAGUGCCCUAUAAGGGAGAAGAAGACAAGUAAGCCAAGGGGAGGGAGAGAAGGAGACUCUCUCCCACUUCUCCCACAUUUGCCCUGGAAAGUCAUGGCCCAGAUGUCAGCAGAGGGGAACGUUCCAAGAGAUCUCAGGAGAAGGAGGUCAGAAGAGAAGAAAGGGGGUUCAAACCAAGACAUGGAUGAAACUGAGGAAAGAAUUCAGCUCCCAGACCAGGCUUUGGAAGGAGCCGAUGAGAAAAGUCCCACUUAAUGAGGAAUCAGACUAAAGGAGCUGCAAAGAAGGAAUAACUUCUCUUCUAAGGAAGUGCAAAGCUAAGAGAUAGAAGGAAGGCCUAACCUAACUCGGAGGAGUCCGUGGAGCUGAAGACCCACAAAGUCACACUUCAAACCUCCCAGGAGCUGGCUCUGAAAUUCCCCUUGGAAGGGACACACCGCUAGAAUUGCCCCAUCCCAUUCCCAAAUCAUCAGGUGAAGCCAAGAACACACACGCACACGCAGGCAGACAAAAGGAGAGAGACACACACAGGCAGAGACUCAGAGAGGGAAUGUGGGAAAAGAGCAGUCAGGAAAUCAUUUCUCCUCUCGGAACUCACCCAUAAACAUUAUUAUUAUCAUGA